UUUCACUCUUUGUGCAGCAUUUUGUCUGUGUUCGUGAGGCUGCGCCGUCAUAAAGUACACCUGUUGUAGUGAUUUAUAGUGUGUUUGGUCUGUGCUGGUGACGCUGUGCCGUCAGAAAGUUCACCUUUCCAAGAUAUUUCGUGUGGUGAAUUAGACAUGGAUCCACUGUUGCCCACCCUGAGCAUUGUUGACACCAGUGUGCCACAGGACAGACAACAGUGCUUUCUUAAAGCAUCGAAGGACGCCAAGACCCUGGCCUCUCGCAACAGGUGCUUCGAGCGGAACACUAGCCAGGACAAAAAAACUGCUUGUGAGGAAGCUAAAAAAAGAUGCCAGCA